rnacentral:rRNA from 1 species
UACGGGGGGAGCAAGCGUUGUUCGGAUUUACUGGGCGUAAAGGGCGCGUAGGCGGCGUGACUAGUCACUUGUGAAAUCUCCGGGCUUAACUCGGAACGGUCAAGUGAUACUGUCGUGCUAGAGUACAGAAGGGGCAACCGGAAUUCUUGGUGUAGCGGUGAAAUGCGUAGAUAUCAAGAGGAACACCUGAGGUGAAGACGGGUUGCUGGGCUGACACUGACGCUGAGGCGCGAAAGCUAGGGUAGCAAACGGG